UAUUCAUUUUUAUUUUUUGUUCGUAUUUUGUUUUACUAACAUAGUUCUUAAGUAAUUAUAUUGUACUAACCAACUAUGAGCCUAUGUAGCUUGACAAUAAAAGAUUUUUUUUUUA